rnacentral:rRNA from 1 species
UACAGAGGGGGCAAGCGUUGUUCGGAAUUACUGGGCGUAAAGCGUGCGCAGGCGGUUAUGUAAGACAGAUGUGAAAUGCCCGGGCUUAACCUGGGAACUGCAUUUGUGACUGCAUGGCUAGAGUGUGUCAGAGGGGGGUAGAAUUCCACGUGUAGCAGUGAAAUGCGUAGAUAUGUGGAGGAAUACCGAUGGCGAAGGCAGCCCCCUGGGAUAACACUGACGCUCAUGCACGAAAGCGUGGGGAGCAAACGGG